AUGUACAUAAAGGCUCUGUAUCAUUCUCUUCAGAUGCAGUAUGUGUCAGUUCCAAAGCUUCACACCAAGCUUGGAGAGGAGAAGCACGACAGAAUACAGUGCAGAAGAUUGAUAAAUGGCACGAGAAGGUUCUUGAAGCCAAAGGCAACCAAAGGCUAGGAUGUGGAUAACAUUGAACCAUAAAGCAAGUCAAAUAAUCAAGAUCUUCAUCCAGUGGGAAGCAAUAGUAGAGACACUCCACAUCGGAAACACUCCCACAAGCGGGGCUUAGGUGAGAGUUCAGUAGUGAAAUUUCUACUCUAACCCUUCGAUUUCAUGUUUAUUUUCUCUUGGUACUGAACCGUUGAUGAACUU